rnacentral:sRNA from 1 species
ACGCGCGCCGGGCAGUUAAAUAGGUCAUGGCAGCGCGUUAGCGCAGCGGCUUUAUCGUCGACCACGGAUGUACUGGCGGCGCAGAGAAGCAAAAGAAGGCUGGUGCAGAAAUGCGCCGGCCUUUUUUGUC